AGCAGCCGCGGUAAUUCCAGCUCCAAUAGCGUAUAUUAAAGCUGUUGCAGUUAAAAAGCUCGUAGUUGAAUUUCGGGAUUUAUCCGUCGGUCGGGCUUUUGGGUCUGUACUGGCGUGAUAGAUUCCUACCUUCUGAAUAACCGGCAUGUCAUUAAUUUGGUGCGCCGGGGAAGCAGGACUGUUACCUUGAAAAAUUAGAGUGCUUAAAGCAGGCUUAUGCCUGAAUACAUUAGCAUGGAAUAAUGAAAUAGGACGGCAUGGUUCUAUUUUGUUGGUUUCUAGGAUCACCGUAAUGAUUAAUAGGGAUAGUUGGGGGCAUUAGUAUUCAAUUGUCAGAGGUGAAAUUCUUGGAUUUAUUGAAGACUAACUUCUGCGAAAGCAUUUGCCAAGGAUGUUUUCAUUAAUCAAGAACGAAAGUUAGGGGAUCGAAGACGAUCAGAUACCGUCGUA
rnacentral:rRNA from 1 species